ensembl:lncRNA
UGUCAGCCUGCCACUCUCCCGCACUGGUUCUCCACUUACAGGAUAUCAGGCUUCCUCUCAUUUUGCUACGGCAUAUCUUCAAAGAGCUUCUUAAUACAACUUCAUAGCAGGAUACAACAAGAAGAUGGCAGUCUGUGACCUGGAAGAGGGCCCCCUCUAGAGCCUGACCAUGCUGACAUCCUGAUCUUGGACUUCCAGCUUCCAGAACUAGAAUUCAAACCAAAGGACCUGAAAGGAAGAUGGCAGAGAGGGAUUCUGCUUUAUAUCUAACGGCCAAGGAAGACCUCUCUAAAGAGAUGACCUCUGUGUUGAGACCUGAAGGACAAGCCAGUUGCAUGAAGAGUUGGGGCAAUGUGCAGGUGAUGCUGAGGCUGCUGAUUUGGGGACCUCACUUUGAGAAUGAUGGGCAGUGGCAAAGUACACCAACUCUCGUGCGAGACUGGCUGAGUUCACGUCCCAACUAUACCUCCUCACUACAUAUAUGAUCUGGGAUCUGUCCUUACAUUCAUUGCCUGCUGAGACAACCCACAGGGCUUGAUGAGGCAAAAGGAAAAAUAAACCCUUAAGCUACAAUGUUUUGUUUUUCAAUCUUCUUGUCCAGUAUAAGUCUCAUACAGCAUCGCAAUUCCAUCUUAGCCUAACUUGAAAUUUUAAAGGAAAGAGCUCGUUUCCUAAGAAAGGAUGAAGCUGGACAGUCGGCUUCCUCUGAUGUCUUGCCUUAUCCCCCACUUAGGAAGCCCAUACGGUGAUUUGAGCCUGUGAAAAUUUCUGGUCAAAGAAGUCCUCCUACUUUAGGUAAUGGAGACAAGCAGAGUCCUCCUAGUUUAGGUAAUGGGAAAGUGUCUUCUCAUUUCUUUCCAGCUUUUCAUGGCUGAUGAUCAUGAGAAGCAGUGCACCAUAGGAGUUGAGGGUGGGCACGGGACACAGACCACCCAGGUUCAAAUUCUCACUCCUCUACUUCCUAAAUAUUUAUAGAUUUGGACAAAUUACCCAAUUUCUCUGAAACUUAUUUUUCUGAUCUUUGAAAUGGUAAUGAUAAUUUUCAGCGAUAUUGUAAAAAUUAAAUGGAAUAAUGAAUGCAGAAUGUAAGAAUUAAAUGAAAUAAUGCAAAAUGCUCAGCAUAGUGCUUGACUCAGAGUUAAUAGUCAAGAAAUAGUAGAUAUUACUAUCUUAACUAUCCACCUACGCUUAACUGACUGGCAAAGUUAACCACCUCUCUUUACUCCCUCUAAAAGAAAUACUGACUGAUGCCCCUGGAAUACCCUUAAGUACAUGGGCUUACUUCUCCUACCAGCUGAGUUAUAGCCUUAUCAAGAGUAUUAUUUGCUCCCAAACCUGUUUAUGCCAGUUACACUUGUAAUUGGGAUUUAAUUAAAUUUUAAGUAAGCAGAUGAAAUAUAAACAUGGAGAGUCAUUUCUAUAAAAACUAGGUUGAAUGCAUAAAUCAAUUCAAAUUGCAAAAAUAAGGUCAAACUAGGUGUGGUGAAGCAACUAAUUGUAACAGACUUAAAAAAUAGUGAUAAUCUAGAAGAAUUCUGGGCACAGAUUGAUUUUAAAAUGUCUUUAAGUUUUGGCUCUGCUUUUGAGAAACAAAUAUUG